AAAUUCAAAAAAAAAUAUUCAGUUCAAUUUCAAAUAAAAUGAGAAUCUAUUAUGCCUACAUUUUAGAAUCAGUUAAACUCUGUUGAUAAGCUUAAACGUCUCGAUUAUUUAUAUAAAAAAAUAAAAUAAAAAGACGUUAAAAGUAUUUUAGAACGCCUAUUACGAUGUUUUUUUUCCGAAAAAGUAAAAUUGUAAUGUUUCUGUGUUACAGGGAUUUUAAUAGCGUUGCUUGUGUCGGCGUCGGAAAAAGGCAUACACAGAUUCUGAGUGCUAGAGCGAAAUAGACGGUGGAUCUUGUGUCAAAGAUGGUCAGUGUGAUGACUCAGAAGUUGAAAAACGUGAUGUAUAGGAAGUGUAUUUCAAGCUACCGUAAAGCAAUUUCAUGUACGUAUGAGUAAGAGUGUAGUCCAAGCUUUGCAAAAGGAACAUGUUCUUGAAAAACUGGAGGAAUAUUUGCACAACAAAGAUGGAAUUAACCCAAACACCAGUGUUUCGGUUUUACCAAAAGAUAUGUUCAA